UUCCGGGUUCAGCCCCUCUUCUCUGAGGCGCAAGCGGGUUUCUUCGACCUCACCUAGGGUGGCCUUUGGACUCUUUCGGCCCCACCACGGGGAAAGCAAGACCUGCAAGGCCAAUAACCUGAAAGGCAGAGUGGAGCCUCUGAACUUCCCAGUCUCUAAAGCCACAUUGCCAAGGGACAAAAAGUGCAGCUCCUGCCCCUUGGCUCAAAAUGUCAGGCGCCAGGAGAAGGCGGUUAUUUUGGAUUGGUGUUCACAGGAAUUUGGCUCCCUUGAGGAGGCCUGUCCUGAACAGCAGGCCCUUGACAUCCUACCCGGAGAGAAACAGGAUGGGUACAUGCAGAGAGGAGGUUAUAGAAAUGAUGGGAGGUAGAGAGCCAGAUCUGGAUGGAGAAAAACAGGUUCUGCAAAAGAAAGGAGGGGAGCUAGCAGUCAUCCUUCUGCUCACGAGCUACAUCUGCUUCCCCUGCAUCUGCCUUUGGUCAUGAGAGUUGCCAAGGAGACAGAGCACAAGAAGAGGAGCAUUGCAGUUUCCCAAACCUGCUGUAAUCUCCCAGCUGGAGCAAGGUCAGGAGUCCUGUGUUCUUGAUCUGCAGGGAGCUGCUUUAAGAGAGGCCCCUAGGAACUCCUGUGCAGUGUCAACUGUUAAGACCAAGAUGGGAAGGUAGGGAAUCAACUGAAAAACUGUGCUUUGAAAAUAGUCACAUUGAGUCAUCUUGACAAUACUCAGAAGAAUUUGCAGAAAAUUCACAAAGGCAUUGACAGGUAAGAAUAGAAAUUCUAGGAAGAUGAAAGACAAACCUAAGAAAAUCCUGAUUUCAGAACAAAAAAAUAAGGAUUUAGAGGAAAGCUUGCAUCUUAACUUGGAAUAUGCCAAGUAUAAGAGAAUUUCAAAUGGGCACAAUUUCUGUGAAUGUAGCACAGAUUGUGAAAACAUCUGUUGGCAGUUGGAUCUUAUUCUCCAUGGAAAAUGCAUGCCAAUGAGAGACUUUGUGAAUGUGAAGACUGUGGAAAACUUUCAGGGUGAUUUCAGCUCUCACAAAAAAAUACACAGUGGGAAGAAACCAUGUAUGUGCGACCAGUGUCACAAAGCCUUCAUUGGGAACUCAGAUCUUAUUAAACACAAGGGAAUUCACACGAGAAAAACCCUAUGAAUGUGGGGGCUGUGGGGAAUCCCGACCCUCAUGAACACCACCGAUUCCACUGGGGAGAAACCCUUUGAAUGUAAUGAGUGUUAGAAAACCUUUAGUAGCAGAUCAGCCCUUUCUCAGCAUAGAGAUUCACAUGGCUGGAAACCCUACGAGUGUGCAACUGUGGGAAAGCCUUUAAGACUUGGAACUGCCUUACUGUGAAACAGAAAAUCCACACUGGGGAGAAGCCUUGUGAGCUGACUGUGGCAAGCCCUCCCAGUUUAGGCACUGCCUUCCAGUGCAUCAGAGGAUCCACAUUGGAGAGAGGCAGCUAUGAGUCUGCAGAAUGUGGGAGUUCAGACUUCCUAAACACAAGAUCCCUACUGGUGUGCUGAGUGUGGGAAGGCUUUCAGUUGCAGCUCUGACCUUACCAAACAUAAAAUAAUCGACACUGGGGAGAAGCCUUAUGAGUGUCAAGAGUGUGGAAGAGCCUUCAGUUACAGCUCAGGCUUUCAGCACCGCAGAGGAGUCCAUACUGAGGAGAAACCCUUUGGGUGUAAUGAAUGUGGGAAGACCUCUUAUCAGAGCUCGGAACAAUGUAUGCAAAAAGACUGCACACAGGAGAGAAACCAUGUAAAUGUGAAAAGUAUGAGAAAGCUCUCAGAGGGGCUUUCUCAAGGGGCAGAAAAGAAGAAAGCAUACUGAAGAGAAACUCCCUGAGUAUGAAAAUGAAAGAUUUAGUCCAACAUCCUUUUGUCAGCCACAUCUGCCUCCCUGCAGCACUGGACACUAAGGAGCCCUUAAUUUUGUGGGGGAGGGUGGGAAACAACCCUAUUUAAAAUUAUAUUCUGCCUCCUGGUAGUCUCAUUUGCUUUUUCCUUACCCUACUUCGUUCCAUACCUCAUAAUAAUUUCUAAUACAUAUUGACUUACUUAUAAUGUUUAUUUUUUAUGUGUAUUAUCCUUCUGCUACAGUAUAAACUCUACAAGGGCUAGGCCCCUGGUCUCCUGUUUGCUGAUGUAUUUGAGGCCACUAGAACCUUGCCAGGCAAAUAGAAGUGGUGGUGGUGGUGGGGCACAAUAUUUUUUGAAUGGAAUGAAUUCUUCGUUUCCUUGAUAUGCUUUUUCUGGGUUACCCUUCAGUGUCUCCAGCCAUUCCUUUCCUCCUGCUUCUGCUGACUCCUUUUGGUUCCCUUAUCCUAAGUUGUGACUGUGUCAUGCUCUGGUCUUUGGGCAAGGGGUCAUAGUAGUCAGUAUCUUCUGACCUUCACUCCAAGCCUGUUAAAUGAAAUGAUACUCGCUAUCACCUCUGUGUCAACAAUAUGUUUCUAUAAACCACACAUGCUAUUUCUCUCUUCAUUGGGGGCAUUUCAAGGCAAAUCAUGGAAUGGGAAAAAUAAAUACCUAUGUUUAUACUA